AGAAGUCAGGCAGGCUGCCCAAGGACAUCUGGGACAAGCACUGGGCCCUUGGACUCAGUCUGAAUUCUCUCUCUUUCAUAUUUCAUUAUACUUUAUGCAAAGAUGUGGUUGAGUGGCACUCUGUUGAUCAUUUCUGUGAGAACCUGUACAAGUGAGUAAACUACUCUGAGCUCUGUUUGCUUGUCCAUGAAAUGGAGAUAAUAAUCGUAACUACCUCAUAGGAUCAUCAGGAGGAUUAAGUGAGUUACUGGAUGUGAAAUUAUAAAACUGUGCCUGGCAUUUGUUGAGAGCUCAAUCUAUGCUCUUCUUGUUGUUGAAGAAAGAACAAGAAGUUUGCUUUUUCUAAAAAAAAAAUUAUUUAUUUUUUAGUUGUAGAUGGACAACUAAACUUUAUUUUAUUUUAUUUCUUAUGUGGUGCUGAGGAUUGAACCCAGGGCCUCGAACGUGCUAGGCAAGCACUCUGCUGCUGAGCCACAACCCCAGCCCAAGAAGUUUGCUUUUAUUAUUGUUUGCUUUUAUAAAAAUAUGUUGUUUGCUUUUAUUAUUGCUUGUAUGUUUACUCAGAAUUGUUUUUGCAGGAGUGGGGAUACCCAGGGGUCAUCUGGGUCUCCUGGUGUCAUGCAGUGUCAGUAGCAUGUGGGUCUAAGAUGGCUGGUGCACUUAGAUAUUUUAGGGGUGUCAUAACACAAUACCCCAAGCUGGUGUGUUUAAACAAUAAAAAUCCAUUUUUUAAAACUGCUUUGGAGGCCAGAAGUUCAAAGACAAGAUGUCAACUGGACCAUGCUCCCUCUGAAGAUUCUAGAGGAGAAUAUUUCCUUUCCUUUUCCAGUGAGUUAUGGCUCCCAGCGAUCCUUGACUUGUUCCCACAUCAUCCAAUCUCUGCCUCUGUCUUCACAUGGCCUUCUCCCUCUCUCUCUGUUCUUUCUGUGUCUCUUAUGAGGACAUUUGUCAUUGGAUUUCAUACCCACUGGUUAAUCCAGGAUUUCAUCUCAUCCCAUCCCAUCUCACCUCACCUUUGAUCUCUUUGUGAGAUCCUUAACUUUAUUAUGUCUGCAAAGACUCUUUGUCCAAAUAAAAUCAUAUUCUCAUUCAUAGUUCUGGGAUAUGGGCACACCCUGUUUGUGGCCACCAUUUCACAAUGUAGCUGAGCAUUUUUGAGUGAGAGCCAGAUGUUAGAAAAGGAACAAAACUGGAAGGAAUUAAACCCAGAGACUUGGUGUUGGUUGAACUUUGUGCUUACCUGCCAUAGUCUUUGGCACUUAGAAAGCAGAAAUGGUAGAAAGAAAGAAUUGUGACUGCAAAGAUUUAUAUCAUUGUCUCAUCACAAAGGAAAUAUGGGUUGUGAUUGGUAAAUAAGGUGGACCCUCAUCUAUUAAGCAAACGCUGAUCAGGAAUCUACCCUAUCCCUGACACUACUGUGUGCUACAUGCCAGAGAUACAAAGAUGUCUAAGACACUGUCCCUAAACGUUUGGAGCCAAUAGUCUGGGGAGAACUAUAAGUAAAUAAAAAUUUAUAGUACAAUAUGAUAAGUUCAAAGCUUGAGCUGUUCUCAGUGCAUUACAGAGAAGGGGCAGGAACCAGGGGUGGGAUGGAGGGGAAGAAAGGGGUGUUAGCUGUGUCAGGUCAGGCUUCCUGGGGGUGGCAGAGGUGACACCAAGACAAGUUUGACAGAAGAAGUCAAGUUGUGGAAGAAAGGGUGUCAUGGAAGAGAGGGUAGGAAGGGGGAAAGGCUUAACAGGCAGGGAGGAUGAACCAGAGGACCAAAGGCACAGGGUCAAAUCAACAAAUGGGACCCAGGGUCAUCACAGGGUUCUUAGAGCAGGAGAGAGAGGACUCAGUGCCUGGUGGUCCACAGAGGAAGGCAGGGAGGAUUAUAGGGAGGCCUGCAGGCCACGAUAAGCACAGAGCAUGGCUCUUGUCCUUCUGGAAACCUCAGAGGUCACAGUAUGCUAAGCAUUUGAAGGAAGUCAGACUUGCUUUGGAGAGAAUUUGAGUGAGGGGGCAGAAGAGGGCAGGACUCAGUUAAGAGAAGACAAAGACCUGGAUUUAGUUCUAAGAUAUUGUGAGAGAAGGAGAGUCAUGAGCUUAUUCAAGAACAGAGGCUGGGGGCAAAACACCAAUGUCUGGAGGUGCUGUAGACAGAGGAAUCUAUGAACAAGAGCGAGGAGGGUCAGGAGGCAGAACCAGGAGAGGCUGUGCGAUGGGAAUGCAGAGCUUCCCGAGGAAGCUGAGAGUGGCUACUUGGUAAGUGGAAGACCUAUAAUUCUGACUUAUCAUUGAGGGAGAGGCUGGUCAGCAACCAGUGAAAGACUGAUGGGUGGGCUGGGGUUGUAGCUCCAUGGUAGAGUGCUUGCCUUGCAUGCAUGAGGCCCUGGGUUCGAUCCUUAGCACCACAUAAAAAUAAAUAAAUAAAGAUAUUGUGUUCAUCUUCAACUAAAUAAAAAUAUUAAAAAAAAGACUGAUGGGCAACGUGAUGAUGCUUUUUGGUGCAGAUUCUGACUUUGUAGAUGUGCUCUGCAAUUUUCAUUAUUGUGAGCCACUUCUGUGUUCAAAUCAAUGUAGGCAGAACAUGGUACCAGUGAAAGGAUGAGGUCUGGUAAGAAAGUGAGCAAGAGGGAAUAGGUAUAAGAGAAUCCAGUGAAAGAAAAGACACAGCUUAGAGGAUCGGCCUUGUAGGUGAGCCUCGUUAGAGAAGAAGAGGGACCAGGAGGCUCUGAUAGACUGGGGAGAGAAGGGUAGCAAUUGAUUAGAUUGUGAAAAGUAGCAUAGAUUGCCUCUGUAUAUGCAGUUGUAAGUAGUUGUUAUAACAAUAACUUUCUCAUUUCAACCUAGAUAAUUUCAAGUUUAGCUGAGUGAAGCUGCUGUAGUUCAAGAAAGGAACUACAUAAAAUGAAUGUGAAAUUUUGCUGGUGCCCCUACAGGAUUUUUCAAAUCCAGACUCUUUCAGGACUCUCCUGAAGGAAAGAGUGCUGUUUGGCUUAGGCAAAAAACUGCUACAUUCUCUGGUUUCUGCAUCGUUUCAAUUUGCAGCUUUCAGGCCUUUUGAAGUCUAAACUCAAUAAGUCAAGGAAAAAGGAGAGUGAGGCCUGUUGACAACAAGGACAUUAGACACAGCUGUUGGGUCAGCCCUGCCAACCUCUACCCAGUGCGCAGAGCUAGGAAGGCAGCCAGCCCCUGGCAUGACAUCUUCAACCAUGCAGCUGUGGACCCUGGCACAUCACUACGUGAGCUUGGUGAUAGCCUUGUAGCCACUGGGUAGCUUUUGAUUAGGACAAGAUGGCCAGCACGUGGGUUGGAUUUAAGUCAUGCUGCGAGUGGUUAGGAGCAGCCAUUUUUUUCACUGUCACAUGGACAGAGAUUGGGUGAUAGUUUUACAUUUCUGUGACUGAAAUACCCAACGAGAACAACUUAGAGAAGGAGAGUUUUGUUUUUUGUUUUUGUUUUUUUGGCUCAUGAUUUCAGAAAUUUAGUCCAUGGUGGGCCAACUCUAUUGCUCUGGGCCCAAGGUGAGGCAGAACAAUGGUGGAAGGACAGGGCAGAGGGAAGCUGCCCAGAACAUGGCGACCAGGAAGCAGAGAGAAAGGCAGGGGGAGAGAAAAGGAAGGGAGGAGUCACGGGGAAGAUGAACCCUUCCUGGGUACACCUCCAGUGACCCACCUCCUCCAGCCACGCCCCACCUGCCCACAGUUACCACCCACUCAAUUCUUUCAAACUAGGAUGGAAUGAUUAGCCAUAAUCUAUUAUGGCUCUUAUAAUCUGUUCACCUCUGAAUAGUCAUGCAUUUACACCGAAGAUGUUGGGGGACACUUCAUGUCCAAACCAUAAUAGAUUUAAACAUUCCGUGUGAUUUAUGAUUUUUUGUUGUUGUUGUUGUUGAACUUUGACAAUUGGAUUUUGUGAGCUCUUGAUUCCUCUAUGUUCAUAGUUGUAAUUUCCCCAGACCUUUACCUUCUACUCCACUACCAAGGGAGAUGGAAUCAUUCUUUCCUGGGACUAGAAUCCAAGGAAACUUCAAAGAUGACUUUUUUAUCCCCUGUCCUUCUUAUGGUUUCAGAAUGUGGAGUGUUCUGGAUCCAGAAAGGAUUUCUGAAGCAAAGACAGCAAAUAAGACAUGAUUGGGUGGUGGGGGAAAUGGAUACCAGGUACUCGACAAGAAGGUGGAGAGUGUAGUGUGUCCCAUAGUGUAAGGUCAGGGUCACCAGGAUGAGUGGUCAUGGCUACCAGGACAAUGAAAACCGAAAUCGUACCAACAGCGAAACAUUCUUUUGACUUAAGCCUGCUCUCUUGUUGAUGAGCAAGGGCUCCGGUUGGGGUAGCCAGUCCACUUAUUUUUGGACACCAUGGCUAAAUGCAUAUGAGUUUAUCAGAUCACUUCCUGACGUAGAUUUUGUUAGAAGGUUGAAAGUGGGAGAAGGGUAUUGGACACCUGAGAGGUGUGAGGACACUGGAGAGGAGCCUUCAGUGAGGGAGGGGAGAGAGAGGGAAGAUCCUGUCACACGUUUUUCUUAGAGUUGGCACUAUUAAGGAAUAGAGAGUGAUGGAAAAUCAGGACGAUGAGAAAAGGGAAGAAGGGCAUGGUUUAAAUCCUGCUCUCAUCAAGAGAGACAGGAAACAACCCAGCCUGUGUCUUAAAAUAGAGCAGUGUCUUGAUUACAUUCCAGAGACCCUUUCUUUAUAUAGUUUUUAAGGGUAUAAAACACACAGUCUAAUACUUCUUCAUGUCUUCUCCCCACUGAAAAAACUCUUCACGGUGCCUUGCUAAAAGUUUAGUCCCCUUCCUCAGCUCUCCUGACAUGUGCAAGGACAACAAGGACUCUCCACAAAGUCAUGUUAAGAGGAUUAAUUAGUGGAAAAUACAAUAUUACACUUCUAUUAAAGAUAACAGCUAUGAAAUGUUCUAUAAGCCCUUGGGUAUAAACAUUCUGUUUCCCUUACAUUUUCAAAUUAAAUUAAAACUAGUUUGACCCCUGUGAAAUAAAAAGAAAAAAAAAUGGUAAACUCAAAAUCACACUUCCACAAUCUUGGUUAAAACUAAAAAAAAUAAGAUUGUGAUGGCUUCGCUGGGGUCAAAGCUUGAAAUGAAAAAAAAUCUUCGAAACGUGGAGUUGAGAAAUUAUAUAUUUCCAUAAGAUAAAGAUUAAGUUAAGAAUUGCUUACAUUUGGUAACAAAUAAAUUACAACUGAAGGAAAAGAGCCUUCAGGGGAGAGAGAUUGAUUAAUUGAUUAUGGGAAUUGGCUCUCAGAAUUAUAGAAGCCAAGAAGGGCUACGAUUGGUCACCUGCUGAUGGUGUAAUUAAGUGUGGGUCUGAAGACCGAAGAACCAGAGGAGCCAAUGGUGUGACUGUCAGUCCAACACCAAAGGUCUGAGUACCAGGAACCAAUGUCUGACAACAGGCUUAGAUAGGUGGCCCUGCUCAAGCAAUGUGAACUCCUUCUUCCUCUCCCUUUUGUUUCUGUUUAGAUUGUCCAUGGAUAGGAUGAUGUCUGACCACAGCGGUGAGAGUUGUCUUUACCCAUCCUACAAAUUCAAAUACUGAUCUCUUCCAAAACACCCUCAGAGGUACACCCAGAGAUAAUGUUUUACCAACUAGUUGGACAUCCCUUAGCCCAGUCAAGCUGUCACAUAAAAUUAACCAUGACAACUAAGAGCUUCCACAGUCUAAAACGAGUUCUGUCAAACCUUAUUCUUAUGCCUUCCUGAUAGUACUAUACUUCCAGAAUCUAAGACCUCCAUACCUGUGUUAUGACUGCCAUUGAGCAGAUGUGGUUAUCUAAAGAAAUGCAUCUACUCCCUCUUAAGUCAGGCACAACAACCUCGAUGAAUUCAGAGAUGAAUAUGUGUGGAUAAGUCAUUUGUCCAUCUGUAUCCAGCUAAGACUCUGAUUAAUUCUACCUAAAUAAAAGUAGGAAGCCGAGGCUAGGCAGUGAAUAUAGGGUGGUCUCUGUAAUCACCUAAAAUAUUUAAUGGCUACCGUAUUCUAGAUCAUUAGCAUGAGCAUCAUCUACAUGUAUACAUAUGUUAUGGUUUGGAUGUGAGGUGUCCCCCAAAAGCUCAUGUGUGAGACAAUGAAAGAAGUUUCAGAGGAGAAAUGAUUGGAUUGUGAGGGCCUUAACCCAAUCAGUGAAUUACUCCCUGAUGGAAUUAACUGAGUGGUGACUAGAGGCAGGUGGGGUGUGGCUGGAGGAAGUAGUUAAUUAGGGGCGUGACUAUGGGGUAUAUAUUUUGUAUCUGGAGCUGGAGUCCGCCUUUGUCUGCUUCUUGACCACCAUGAUGUGAAUUGCUUCCCCCUGCCACAUACUCCGCCAUGAUGUUCUGCCUUACUUUGAGCCCCGUGGAAAGAAGUCGUCGACCUUCUCUGGACUAAAACCUCUGAAACCGUGAAACCUCAAAUAAACUUUUCCUCCCCUACAGUUGUACUGGUUAGAUCCUUUAGUCACAGCAGCCAAAAAGCUGACUAAAAUAAUGUAUGUGUUGUGGGUGAAGAUUCCUUCCAGGACUGUGUGGUCCUUAGGACUAAAGGUCCUUACACAGUUACUUGCAGAUGCUGAAUUUCUGAAUAAUACCCAUCCAGCUUGUUACCCCACAAAUGGUCAUUACUGUAAGUGAUAUCCAGUUCAGCAAGCCAAACCUAUCAGCACACUGCUUGCUUGCCUUGGUCUGCUGAAGAGAUACUCACUUGGAGAAAUAUGCCUUCUAUGAACGUUGAAGUUUUGGCUUAUCAUCACCAGCUGAGGCUUGUCAUUGAGCCUUUUCAAGGUCAAUGUCCCUAUGCAGCUCAUCCAGGUUAUAUUAAUAUUUUGGGGGUGCCUUAUGGCAUAUGACCAGGGGUUUGUGCCAUCUCUUCUCAUGGAAUGCUCCCCUACCUGAGGAAUGUUAUAAAAUCUCCCCUCUUACUGAAUGCUAUUUUUUUGGUUCAUUCAGUUUUUUAAUAAUUAAUGCCUGUGUAUUCUAGGUCAUUAGUUUGGGUUUAGUCAACAUACUUUUUUUAAGCUCUAGGGAUAAAAUAGACAUGUUACCCCAUUUUCACAGAACUCAAAAGUCUAGCAAGGAAGAUAGACAUUCAGUAUAUAAUGAAAACAAAUUAAAUUCAUGAUUUCAUGCAGGUGACGAGCUAUAAAGAAACAGGUGCUAUGGGGACAUAUACCAGGGAGGUUUCCCUGAGGAAACUGAAGCUGACAUAUGACGGAAACAUUUGUAUAUCUGUCUGUAAAAGGAAAACUAUUUUUAUUGGAUUUUAGGAUGUGCCUGGAAUCCAUACCCUCCAUUACUGUGCUCUGGUGGCCACCUGAGUUGGCCUCAUAAAGCUGUUUCAAUUUCCUCAGCAUUUCUGAAGGCCAGCGAGUCAUUAUGACAUGCACAAAACUAUGAGGACGAUGCCCAGGCUAGGGGCUGGAGGUGACCCUACAGGCUUUCUUCAACCUUGAGUUGUGGCGGCUUCUAGGUUUUUUACCUCUGGGUACUGAAGAGUUUGAGAGAGCUAAGCUCAUUAAGAGCUUUCCUUUCUACUCUAGCACUGAUAAGUAGGGUAAUUCAGGUUUCCACUCCCCUGUCAGACUGAGAGGAAAAGUCAGGUCAAUGUGGGUCUCACUAACAAUGGCUUCUCAUCAAAAGCUUCCUUUGAGAGCCUGUUCACAAAUCCUUUAGGAAGUUGGAGGUCUCUUCCAUCUGCUUCUGAGUCUGUUUUAAGAGUCCCUUCCUGGCUGCCCCUGAAUGAUCUUCCUGUUUCACUCACUGUGUGGUUUCUUAACUGGGGUGAUCUCUUUGCUACAGAGCUAGUGGGUGCUUCUUAAUGUUCCCAUGUUAACUUGGUUCUAUGUUCCCUCAUUUUUUUUAAACAGGACAGCCAUAUGCUUUGGAUUAUUGAGAGCAUCCAUUCUUGUAGUCUUCUUUCCACUGAGUCAAAUUUCCAGUUUACUAAAAUCAGCCCACCACCCACUGGCACUUGUCAGACCGCCUCUGGGAAAGGAGAGGAUGAUGAAGCCAUAUAAACAAUACAACCAGGGAAUACCCACCUAAGGGCCCCUAACACACACUUCUUGUUUAGCAGUGUGGCUCUUGGACAAAGAGGUUCAACCUAGGCGCAAGGGCAUCACAUCUCUGAAAGCAAUGCAGAUAGUCUGGGGGAGGGGGAGCCCAAUCUAUUGCACGAGUUAAAAGUUUCCAAAGUUUUGUGUGGGAGCUGUGUUAUAAAUCCUGUUAUCUGUUAAUGGGAUUUGGGCCUGAAACACCCACAUGCUGCUUUGAAAUUUUCCUCCAUCUGUUCAUUUCUGCAAAGCUUAUUUAUUUAUUUAGGACAAGGAAGUGGCCUACUAAUGGCUCUAGAUGAACAUUAGGAUUGUAGAUCUGUGGAGAAAAUAGAUAACUGUUUCCCGGGUCUCUUCUCAUAUGUAUCUUCUUACAUCCACUCCUCUGGGGUCUUUAGGUGAUAAGGUUCUGAUAGAAGUGGACUCGAAGAAAUCAUUAUCAACACUGCAUAGACCAAAAAAUGAUCAGCAAGUGUAGUCACUCAACAAUUGAAAGAAAUACUGAAGGGACUUAUUCAUACAUAGAUGCAAUAUAGGCCUCAUUCAGGAAGGGACCAGUUCUUUGUCUUUGGAAAAGAACUCUCCAUAAACAUGGGUUUAUUUUAUUUUAAUUCAACUUUUGUAAUUUUCCUCUCAUCUUUUCCUAUGGGUCAAUUACAACUAGGAGGUUUUCCUCUCCACACCACUUUCCUUUUCUGUCGUGACAAGUGAAGCUUUGGCCCUAAUUCCAACCCUUAGGCUUUUUGACCCAUUUUUGACCAAUGUGGGCAAAACGGGGCUGCACCUUUAGCAGCUCUGACUCGUUCUCUUAGCCAAGAUGCUUCUGCAGACCCAGUUUUCUUCUCAGAAAAAAAAAAAAAGCAACUGGAGUGCCAAGUCUUAUAGUUAUUUUAUAAUUAGAAGGCACUUUUUGGAUAUUUAUUCCUUCAACAAAAAUAUUUCCUGAAUGCUCAGUAGAAACUAGAUAUACUGGUAGGCGAUCAGGAUACAGAGGUGAAAAGAUACAUAGGCUUUUGCACCUAAGGAACUUAAAGACAGAUGGAAGAACCUACAUUAAAUAAAUUUCCAGUUGUGGCAAGUGUUGUAAAGAAAAGUUCAGUGAAAGAUUGAAGCUGAGGGACUGGUUGAGAUGGUGGGCUUCCCAGAAGAGGUGACUUUCAGUAUGAAAGGUGGCAUUUCUCCAUUAUGUUCACGCUUUACUGCCAUUAAGGGGCAUAAAGGAGAAUUAACAACAAUAACCAUUACUACAUUUAAAACAAAAUUUGGCUGAGUGUGUCUUUCCAGCUCUUUUCUCUUUGGUGCUUGAUUACUAAAACCAAGAAAGUACAAAUCAUCUAGAGACCAAAUGCCUCUUGAGAUAUGUUUUCAGUGUCUGAGUAACUCAUUUGGAAAGUGCUAAAGUUCUACACCAAGGUGAUGAGGUCUAAGAGAGGUAGACAGGAUAGAAAAAAGAAGUUGUUGACAUGAAGACCCCAAGAAGACAGUGGAGAGACCUUUCUCCUUCAUUCCUUCAGGUAAUGCCAGCCCAUCUGUGGAGGUGGGGAGUAGAUGUAGAGGAAGGGAACUUGUGACAAUACCUGGCUUGGGGACUGUUGGGACAGGCCCCCAAAUGGCUGUAGUCAGGCUCCCUCGCAGAGACUUCCUGCAGGCUAUGUGAUGUUUUUAGUAUAUAACCAGGGGCUGGGAACCAGCUAUGUCAUGGUUGUCAAGGCCAGAAACCCUCUGACUCAGCAUAUAUAGUCAAGGUCAUAAACAUUAACUGUGAGCAUGUGCCCCCCUCUUUAUGUAACCUGUUGGCAGUGUGCCUUCUUUGUUUUACCUGCACAUAAAGGGGGCUAUGGAAAAGACUCAGGGUGAAAUGGCUAAUGGCGGCUGGCUAAUGGCUAUGGCACCUCCAAAUAAAGGGUGACCAGUAUUCCCACUGUGCCUUGCAUCUCCUUCCUCCUGCCCAACUCGAAGUAUGUUUCCUGGUCUGAGCUCCCACAUGACAGAGACCUCCCAAGAAAAGCUUGGAGAUGCACUCCUUGGAAACACCCACUUAGAUGAGUGCUUUUCUAAGAUUCUGUGAAGAGGAGAAAGUCCUAGGCGGGAUGUGAGUACCACAAGAUGUACAGCUUGGAAUGGCUCCAGGAAUCUACACUCCCACCCAGUUCCCAGACAGUGUCCACGCUGCCAGUCCUGUCGACAACCUCCAAGAGCCGUCUCCUGGUUUCUCUUUCUGUUUCCUCUCUGCUUUCCUCAACUUCCUUAUUUCUCAUAUGGAACUUGUUUUUCUUCCACACUUAUUGUUACAGUUCCUCCUUUCUAUAAUUCUACCUGACCCCAAGCUCCAUUUCAACUCACGAUUUGGUCAUUUCUGAACUGAGCAAAACAAAGGGGAUAUGUUCUCUUUGUUUUCCUCAUAGCACAGACAGUACAUCUGGAGCUAAGGCAGCAGACAGGGUUACCCAACAUCUAGGAAAACUAUCCUUUCUUCUUGUGUUUUCCAAUUUCCAUUAGCAUUGCUUCAGCCUUAUAGCUUUUCCACUAUGGAAUUGUUCUCAUUUCCACAAACAGUUUCAUUGUAAAAUACAUUAGUUAUGAAACAAAAUUUGUAAUGCCUGUGUGGGUUCCCAUUCAUAAUGAGAUUUCAUUAUUGUUUUAUUUAACUUUUGGAAAUCAUUUGACAAUGAGUUUGGGGAACUCAGAAAGGAUAUCGAAGUGGUGAUUUGUGCAUUGUGGUUUGGAUUAUCUAGUUGAAUUACAAUACUAAUAAUGGCUCAGUGUGGUGCUGUCCAUAGUAUAAUUUUAAACUUUCUGGUAGUCACAUUUUUAAAAAAGUGAAAUCUAAUGGAUAAAAUAACUUUGAUAGUAUACUUAAUUUAACAUACUAUAUCCCAAAUCUUCAACAUGAAAUUUCAACAUGUAAUCUAUAUAAAAACUACUAAUGAGAAAUGCACAUUUUUGUGCUAAGUUUUUGAAAUACCAUGUGUAUUCUGUAUUUACAGCACAUCUUGAUUUGGAUGGGGCACAUUUUAAAUGCUUGACAGCCACAUGUAGUUAGUGGGCUUCUGAAUUAGAUAUUGGUAUAGAGCCUUGUUCUUUGUUUUCCAUUUGGCUCUUGGAUUUGUUAUCCUAAAGCUAACAGGAUCUUUCAAUUUUACUUAGCCCAAAUUUAUUUAACAGAUAAGAGAAAUGAGUCAGGAAAAGAGGUGACUUGCCAGGGCACACAGUGUGCUGGGGACAUGGUGGGCUCUGAGUCCAUGUCUCCUACUCUCUGGUCAGAGCUCUUUCUAGUGCAGACUGUAGUUAGUGGUGAUGCUAACUCAUGACACUUGUCUAAACAAGGAAUAGGCCAAUCGAUGCCAAAUGUUGCAUUCUGUGCUUUGCUUCUGACUUGAGUUAGGAUCAAAUUCUUCCCUCAGCAAAUUAACUCACUCACUUGUUCAUUGAUUCAGCCAGCCAGCCAUUCAUUCAUUUGGCAACCUACGACUUGCUAGAUGCUAGGAAUGCAAAUACACUGUGAAGAAAUUUGGUCCAGGGGAAAACAGACAAUACAGCACGCAUCACAGGAUCACAAAAAAAUAUGUUAGAGGUUCAACCAGAAUGUGGGUAGGGUUCUAACAGUUCUGAGACCAUCACAGAGGGCAUGGACUAAAGGCACAGUCUGUGAAAUGACAACAGUGCAGGGAAGAGUCUGACAGGAUGACAAAAGACCACUGACAACCAGACUGAAAUUCAGACCAUCAUUCAUUUAUAUACAGUAAAUGGUUUUAGGUAGACACGGUUUGCAUAUCAAAGAAGGUUGCCAUCUAGAGGGGAAACAUGCCCAAAUCAGUGUAUUAAAAUGAAGAAAUAAAUCACAAACUAUGAAGAGAGGUCAAGAAGCAACAUGGUAAGGCAGAGGACGAAGCUUUUGGACAUUGGUGGGAAGAGAAGAAGAGGUAUAUACUAAUUAGAGUAAGACCAGCUGUUUUCACCUUAGCGGGAACACCAAAUGUGUCAUGGCUCAAAGGCAAAUUGUUUUUUUCUCACUCACAUAGAAUCCAAAAUGACUACUGCCUGACCAGCAGGUGGCUCUUCCCCAUGCAGUGAUUCCAGGUCCCCGGCCCCUUCCAUCUUGCAGCUCCUCAAUUUUUAACAUAUCGUUUCCAUGGUCACCGUGCUCUUCUGUAUCAAGGUUUUCUUUUCAGGGAGAUUAGCAAGUCUGUCAGUGACGCCUGUGAUUUUUGCUCACCGUCUGGUAUGCUUUGGAUGAGAGGUGUCACCCAAAAGCUCAUGAUUAGAUAUUGAGAGCUGUAACCUCAUCAGUGGAUUAAUUCAUUUAGUUGAUUAAUCGUUUAAAAGGACUACAGUACUAGGUGUUAACCAUAAGCAGGUAGGGUGUGAUUGGAGGAAGUAGGUCACUGGUGGUGUGCCUUUGGGGUUUGUAUUUUGUCCCUGGCUUUCUUUGCUUCCUGACUGUCACUAGAUGAACAGUUUUCCUCUGCCAGGUCCUUCUAUCAUGCUGUCCUGCCUCACUUCAGGCUCAAAGCGACAGAGUCAGUUAAUCAUGGAUUGGAUCUCUGAAACCCUGAGCCCAAAAUAAGCUUUUCCUCUUCUAAGUAGUUCUUGUCAGGUAUUUUGUUCACAGUGGCCAAAAUCUGACCCACAAACUGUCCCGUGAAACAUAUAAGUGUAAAGGAGGCUGGGAAAUGAGGUCUAGCCAGAAAUGCAAGAAUGCAGAGGGAAAUGUGUCUACCCAGGUAGAAGAGAAAACAGCGUGAUGAACAUCUAGCUAGUUUCUGUCCCAGAUUCAAAGGUCCAAAAGGAUAUUUGCCAAUGCAGAAUAAAGGGAAGAAUGUUCCCGACAGAGGAAGUGGUGUGUUAGGAAGCUGAGAUAUGAACAGUGUGGCUGAAACGUGGGGAGGAAGUGAUAUGGGAGAAUGGUGAAGAAAUGGGUAGGGUUCAGGUGGGAGAGGGGAUUUUGGAGCUUUAAAUUAUUAUGGUGAGGUAUACAUAACAUUGACUUUACCAUCUGAGUUAUUUCGACGUGUACAGUUCAGUGGCGUCACUUGCAUUCACAGUAUAGACAUCACCACCAUCCAUCUCUAGAACUUCAUCCUUCCAAUCUGGAACUCUGCACCAUUACACAUGAACUCCCGAUUCCUCACUCCUUCCAGCCCAGCUUUACCUCUGUUUUACUUUCUGUCUCCUUUAGUUUGACUACUCAAAGGACCUUAUAAGAGGAAUCAUAGGAUAAUUGUCUUUUUAUGAUUGGCUUAUUUUAUUUAUGUGCUCAAGUUUGUUUAUGUAGUAGUAUGUGUAAGAAUUUCCUUCCUAAGGCUGAAUAAUACUCCAUUAUAUGCAAAGAGCACAUUUUGUUUAUCCAUUGAUCCAUCAAUGGAUGUUUGAGCUGUUUCUACCUUUAGGCUAUUGUGAAUAACACUGCAAUGAACAUUAGUGUACAGAUAUCUGUUUGAGGCCCUACUUUCAGUUCUUUUGGGUAUAUGACAGAAAUGGAAUUGCUGGAUGAUGUGGUAAUACUGUUUAAAGUUUUUGGGGAACCACCAUAUUGUUUUCCAUGGUGGUACUCCAUUUUACAUUCCCACCAACAGUUUUCAAGAAUUCCAAUUUUAGUGACGUUGAGCAUUGUUUCCUGUGCUCAUCAGUCAUUUCUAUGUCUUCCUUGGAGAAAUGACUAUUCAAGUUCUUUCCCCUUUUUAAAAUUGUCUUUUUGUUGUUGAGGAAUUUGAGAUUCUAUUCUAAAUGCAAUGGCAAAACAUCUUGAGGCUCGGUCAGGGGAAUGGCACGAGCCAAUUCUCAUUUUAGGAAGAUUAUUCCUUCAUCUGAGUGAUUAUGUGAUUUUCUCCAAUAGUGGGGAGAGGGGGGUGCUGAUGACAUCAUUAACCACAGGAGUCCUUGAUCACAAUAUGCAAAAAUGUAGUGCAAUUUGUUCAGAAGGCCUGGGUUCUACCUUUCCUCCCACAGACUUCAACCAUGUCCUGUAUUUCUAUGUUCCUGCGGACUUGUUCCAUGUUUCCCAUUUUGGGGUUGCUUGGGGGUUGGGGGUGGGCUUGGAGACAGCUCUAAGAGGGUGAAGGAUGAUUCAAACUCUAGCUCCAGUGAUUCUUAAAGGGCCUGACAGGGGCAGACCAAUUAGUGUAAGUGGUGAUAUUUGUUGCUCUGAGUAUGGCAGAGACACCUGUUCCUUUGGAAGCUGGUGACAUUGCUAAUUCAUUCCACAGCAGCCUGACAGGAACAGCUGGAAUGGAGUAAGAGAUCAGUGAUGGCAAAGUGAUAGGAGUUCCCCUCUCCUGAGAGUCAGUUCUUCUCACCCCUUGUAUUUCUGAUACAUUAAAGCCAGAACUCAAUAUUCAACUGAAUGUGGUGUUUUACAUUUUUUCCAGUUUUCUAUACUUUGUUUUCCUCCUGAAUGUUCUUGCUUAUUCAAGUGAAAAUGGUUCUCCAUCUUUAAUGUAUCAGAAUCACUUGUAGGGUCUGUUGAAACACCAGGUGGUGGGCUGACCCACACCAAGUUCCUGAAGCACAGGUCUCAAGAAUUUGAAUUUCCAACAAGUUCUAGGUGCGGCUGGGCCCACUAUUUGAGAACCACUGCAUGAAGAUAAUAAGCGUGGCCCUUUGGGGUCAUGGAGCAAAUUAAUUACGGAUCUUUAAAAUAACAGUAAUUGUAGUUGCUAUUCACCAGAGCUGGGAGGUAGACUGCCCACCUCCUUUGGAAACAUUUUCUCCUGUACUGCUGUGUGUUCAUGUGUGUGUGUGUGUGUGUGUGUGAGUGUAUGUGUACACAUUUGAACUUGCCUGUAUCUGUGUGAACACAGACAUGCAAGCUUGUGACCUUCAAGGACUCUUCAGUACCAUUACUUUUCUGAGAAGAAACAUCAGGGGAUAAGUCCCUGGCACUCAUGUGACUGGGAGAGAUCCAUUUCCCUUUUUUGUUCUAUGUGAUGAAAAGGAAAAAAUGAUUUUGUCUAUUUCUCAAGAGUGCAUGGAGAAUUAGCACCUAUGCAAACCUUUAACUAAAUUCAUUUAGUUCAUUGACAAAUAUUUUUUAAAAAGAAAAAUAUUAAUUGCACAUCUACUGCAGUGAACAAAACAGAGUAAGUCCCUGGCCAAGUGGACUCUUUUUUUUUCUGGUGGUAGGCAUAAGAAAUAAGCAAACUGAAAUACAUACUUGUUAUAUGUCCAGUGGCAAUGGAUGCUAAGCAGGAAAUGUGUGUGUGUGUGCGCGCGCGUGUGUGUGCACGCGCAUAUGCACAGGGAUAAGGAACGUAUCCCUGAUGAAGGGACAUUUGAACGUAGGAAGCAAGGGAAAGGGCCACAUGGAGAUCUGGAAAUAAAAGCAUUCCAGGCAGAGGGGAUUGCAAGGGGGCUACUUCAAGGAAGAGCCAAGAGGCUAGUGUGGGGUUAUGAAAAUGAGGUGCGCACAUGAGGUCAGUUCCAGACCCAGCUUGUGUAAGAACUUAGAAGUUAUUAUAAAGACCUGAGUGAAGUAGAGGCUACAGGAGGGUUUUGAGCCAAGGAGGGGUGUGGUUGGAUUUGCAUAUUAGAAGACCAUCCUGGUCCCUGAGUGGAGGGAGUCCUGGGGGGAGAGUGAUGGUGGAAUUGGGAAGACCAAUCAGGAUACAGUGUCACUAGCCAAGGCACGUGGUGAUACUUGAUGGGACCAAAAUCUAGAGGUCAAGGAGGUCCCAACUGGUUGAUUUUGGGAGAUAUUUUGAAGGAAGUGUCAACAGGAUCCAUUACAUUUUAGAUAUAAGGCAGAGUGAGAGGAUCAAGGUUCACUGGGUUUUUUUGAGCUGAGACGCAGGAAAUCUGGAGCUGCCAAUACCUGUGAUGGGGAGAUCUGCAGAACUAGCUAGCUGGUGAUCUAGCUGUGUGCCCAACAGAAAAAGGAAAUGAAAGGAAAGCACUGCUGCAGGACAAAGAGACAUCACCUACUCCUACACCCUCCACAGAGCUGGCGACUACAUUUUUGUGUUUUCAAGAUUCUUUCCAUUCUAUCUUCAUCUCAAUUCAUAUCUUCCAAGUAGUCGUAGUUAAUGGUGCUGAGUGUUUAACAGGUGAUGUGAAAAGCUGCCGACACAUUAUCUCAUGGAAUCCUGGUAACCAUCCAGGACAGAGAAAAGGUGGAUCUUACUGUAAAUGUACUACAGAGGACCUCUCUGCUUGUCUCCCCACCUUUUCUUUCUCUUCUCCCAUGGAUCGUUAAAGCCCUGUAGCCUGGCUACUGUCCAGACCAAAUAUAUGUAUAUAUGUACAUGUGUGUAUAGACCACGUAUGUACAUGUACAUGUGAUUUGAAAGUGAUUGUUCUUUGGCCUUAAUAUCACAUAUAAACUCACUAGGAAUUUGGCUUUGAUGGAAGAGACAAGUGCCCUGUGCUACGUGCUCAUCACUUGGGCUGCAGUGGCCAGGUGCUUGGGUCACACUUGGCUGAUGCUGUCUGAGGGAUCAGAGUCCACCUGCAGACAUGUGAUGCAGUUCCAUGACCAUCCCAUCUUGUCUGGGCUGACAUGCAGCAGGGCCCGCGUGGUCCCCUAUUAUCCCUUGAGGCUGGUGCAGACAGUGGGCAGGGAAAGAACAACACCGAGGAAAACUCUGGCCAAAGCUCUCUCAGCCACCAUGGCAUGAAACACCCAUGUUAGAGAGCUUCCUCUUGGUGUGAGUCACUGGGCUUUCUCAUUCAAAAUGUAGAACGAGGAUGCAUUAAUUCCAAUGGCACAGGACAGGACAGGCAACACAGAGGACAGGGAAAAUGCCUUUUUUUUGGUCUGGAAUCCUAGCUGUCUUCGGUGACCACACAGAUGAGGUCCCUUAUGGGGAAUCCAUCCUCUCAUUUUCUGUAUUUAUUUAGUCAACAAGAAUUUAGGGCCCUACUGUGUGCCUGGCACUGUUUCAGAUAUGCAAAACAGGCAGAAGUCCUCCCUUUCAGAGAGCUUAGAUUUUAGUGUGUGUUCAGGGGCCAUGAUAGAGACAUAAGUAAAAUGAACAGUGUACACAGAUGGUGAUAACUACUGUGAAGGAAAACAAAAUGCAGGGAGGUAAGAAAUUCCAGUGGGAGGAGGAUUGGUGAUGCCCUUUGAAGAAGAAGGGUCAGGGAGAAGCCCUCCCCGAGGAGGGGAGCCAUGUGGUUGUGGGGGUUGGAUGUGUUCCAGGUAGAGGGCACAGCCAGUGCCAAAGUCCAGGGCUGGGACUCUGACGGUGAUGGAAUUGCAGACGGGAGCCCCAUGUGGAGGGGAAUGGAGGGUUGGAGGAGGGAUGAGGUCAGAGGGCUGGAAGAGGCUGGAUGGCUUGGCCAUGGGGCCAGAGCAGGCUCGGAGUGGAGCAGCCACAGGUCAAACUUCAGUGGGAACUUGUGGUCAUUGUGUUUAGGAGAGAAAAGAAAGUAAGCUGUGAGAUCAGAGGGAGCCUGUGGCCGCAGUCUGGUGGGGUGAGGUCAGUGGAGAGCUGAAAAGAGAAAAACAUGCGAAGUAGGAUUCGGGGACCCUGGGGACAAGCAUGGCCUUCUUCAUGAGUUUCCCUGUUUCUAAUUUUGCCCCAAAUCUCUCUGCCUCUGUAAGACACACCUGGAUCUUGAGUCCACCUGGAGCUGAGGUGGAGGCUUUCCUCUCCCUCUGCUGUCCUGGGUCCUAGAGUGUGGGCCUGUCUCCCCAGCCACCCUGUGUGUCUGUUCCUAGCAAGUGUGACGUGUCGGCCUGCCACCCCCCACUUCUGCCCAGGCUGGCUGGCAUUCAGGCUUCUUUGUAGUAGGUCAGAGCCUCUGGAGUGUCCUUACCUCCUCCUGGUCCUCGACAGCUCUGGACUCUGUGUGGCCAUAGACGGGCUUGUAAUUAUAUGAGCUCCCUGAAGACUUGCAUCUGUGGGAAGAAGGAUGUCUGAGCUCAGAGUUCAGAUGCCUGUUCAGAGAGAUGGAAGGAACUCUGGGCUCACAGAAGGACAUCUGUUGGGCACAGAAGGACCCUGGUGCCCUGGUCCAAGCCUGGUUCCAGCACAUGUGCUGAGGGCCAGAGAGGCAGCUCCUGUCUGUGCCCCUCCCCACGGAGACAGGGAACCACAGAUGGCCUGCAAUCUGAUAUGCUGGAUGUUUUCAGAGCUCCCAGAGUGGGAUGGGAAGCCGAAUUGUACGCUUCCAGGAAAAGUGCUUCCGUGAGAAAUUUGUCAUUUUGUCUCUAACUCCAUUAAAAGCUUUGUCGUGGUACAAACCCCAGGCAGAAAUGGCCUUUUUGUAAAUGCCAAGAAAAUCACUGGGUUGAGAUGUAUUGUGUUUGUAAAAAGAGCAAACCAGAGUGAUUUCUCACACCUGGUGCCCACCCUAAUCCACUGCAAAUACGACAGGACAUCCCAAUGACACGGAGAUCAUUUGCCUUGACUAUCUUCAUGGUCUAUUUCUUUAGAAAAGAUGAUUUUUAAAAAGCUUGAAGGAUUACCCUUUUUUAUAUUUGGCUCUUCCCCCCACCCCUUCUCCCUUUUUGAUUUUAGGAAUGCCAUACCGCAAUAGCUACCAAAUGACAAAUGCAUUUAUCCGUUUAUGCAUAAAUCCUAUUUUGGAAUUUAUUUUAGAUCCACUUCCCUGUAUGUGAAAUGACACAUUGGGAAUGUUUGUAAGGACAAAGAGAGGACUCUUUUAAAAAAGCAAUGCUGUAUCUGCACAGUGGGAUUCUCUGACACUGUAAAAAGGAAUCAGGAUAGUCUCCUUACUGACAUCAGAAGAUUGCUAGGAUAUGCUGUUCAGCAUGGAAAAAAAAUACCAAGAAGCAGAAGGGUGCUAACUUUUGCAUAAGAAAUGGAGGAAAAUAAGCAUAUAUUCAUAUCUGCUUCAUAUGCAUAAAUGCUGGGAGGUAGAAAAGAAACUAAUAAAAAUAGUUCCUUUGGGGGACAAGAUAAAUAGAGCAGAUGAAGACAUGGAUACGAGACCCCUCAGAGCAUUCCUUUAUUAGAGUUUUGAUAUUAGAGUCAUAUAAAUGUGUUCUCCUCACAAUUUUUUACAAAGGAGACACAUCCAAACGUAUUUAGACCCCAGUGACUUGCGGCUUCGCUUCUGACAGUGGUAUAGGGAGCUGCAAAGAGUUUUGAUAAUCAUGGAAUUUUUGAGCACCACCCACCUGUGUUAAGCAGGGGCUGAGAGGGGGCUUGAGAGGGAGAGAUGGAGAAGAACCAGGACUUGUCCUGGAGGAAUCUGUCAGUCAGAUUUUUACUGCUGUAACCAAAAUACCUGACAAGGAGGCAACAUCUAUUUGGGCUCAUGGUUUCAGAGGAUUCAGUCCAUGGUCACUCCAUCAUGAUGAGGAAGAACAUCAUAGAGGAAGAGUAGGGGCAGAGCAGGGGAAAGCUGUUUAGCUCAUGGCAGCAGGAAGCAGAGAGAGAGAAGAGAGAAACAAGACAUCACCAUCCCUGAUCUACUUCCUCCAGCCACACCCACCUGCCUACAGUCACCACCUGGAAGUCCAUUUAAAUUAUUAAUCUACCAAAUAGGAUUAAUCCACUGGUGAUGUGACAGCUCUCGCCAUCCCCUCAAAGCCUCACCUGUGAACCUUGCUACAUUGGGGUCCACACUUCCAUCACAUGGACUUUCUGGGGAUAUUAAACAUCCAAACCAUCACAAGGCACUUGCAGCCUAGCAGAGGAGAUUGGAGAGGAAACAACUGGUGACAAUGUUGUGCCACAUGAAAGGGAAGUGCAAGGUGCUGUGGAGGUUGCAGGAGAGAGAGUUAGCUUUGGGAGGAAGGGGCUGAGAGGGUCAGAGCAGAACACAGGAGAAUGAGGCUGGAAAAGAGAUAGAAGAAAAGAAAUUAGGGAAGAAAAAGGAUGUACAGAGGCCCAGUUCAGAAGAAAGAAAAGGACCAGAAUAUGGGGAGACUUGAGAGUGCUUGGGUAGAUGCAAGUAGUCAAGCAUGGCUGCAAGGGAAGAGAUGGGUGUUAACCUGAGAUUGGUGGGAUGUCAAAGGCAGAAGAGAAGGGACAAGCCAUGAGGAUCCUCAUUCGUUAUUCUGUACAGAUGCUGCUCAUUGUGCUACCCACAUCUGUUCUCCCUUCAUCCAGUAUUCCCUUCUUGCUCCGCCUACAGCCUGUGGGAAUAAAGACGUACAUCGUAUCCCCUUUGCAAAUUAGUGUAUCCAUAUGACUAAACCCCAGCCAAUGGGGUGUAAACGGAAGGCAUGUGUGCAACUUCCAGGAAGGGUCCUUCAAAGGAGGGCCUGUGUCUUUCUCCUCCCCAUUCCCAUUGGCAGGAAUGCAAAUAUGGCUAGAAUAGCCAUCUUCUAUUUCUUAAAUAGAAAAGUUUUAUUUUAAUAUUCAGCCUGAUUAAAAUAUUUUUCCCAUGUUUUUAUUGGUGCAUUAUAUUUGUACAUAAUGAUGGGAUUUAGUGUUACAUAUUCAUACAUGCACACACUAUGAUAAUAUAAUUUGGCCAAUAUCACUCCCCAGCACCUCCCCCCUUCCUGCCUUGGUCCCUUUCCUCUACUGAUCUCCAUUUGAUUUUCAUGGAUCCAUCCCACCUUCUUUCCUUUUCCCUCUCUAGCUUCCACUUGUGAGAGAAAACAUAUGACUCUUGACCUUCCGAGUCUGACUUAUUUCACUUAACAUAAUGGUCUCUAGUUCCAUCCAUUUUCCUCCAGAUGACAUAAUUUCAUUUUUCUUUAUGGCUGAAUAAAACUCCGUUGUGUAUACAUACCACGUUUUCUAUAUUAACUCAUCCAUUGAUGGACACCUAGGCUGGUUCCAGAGUUUGAUGAUUGUGAAUUGUGCCUCUAUAAACAUGGAUGAAGUAUGAUGAGCAGGAUAAGAACUGAGGGAUACAUGCAUACCUGGGUUUAUAGCAGAGAUAGUGCAGAGUGGCUCAAACUCCAUCUGUGACACCAAUUGCCAUGAUUUAAACCCCAUCUCUGUCCCUACCAGCUGUGUGGCCUUGAUAAGUUACACAUUCUCAAGGAGUCCCUUUUUCCCAUCUUUAAAAUGUCCUUGCUUGGGGCUGGGGUUGUGGCUCAGCUGUAGAGCUCUCGCCUCGCACGUGCGAGACCCUGGGUUCCAUCCUCAGCACCACAUAAGAAUAAAUAAGUGAAAUAAAGGUAUUGUUAAAAAAAAAUGCCCUUUCUUCAUAGCCUUGUUGAGAAGGUUAAUUAACAUGGUGCAUGGAGAGAAAUUAAUGCAGUGCAGGGUACUCAGUAACUGCCCAGUAAUUUUUUUUCUAUCUUUUGUAUUUAUUAUUAAAUAGAAAUAGAUAAAUGACACAGUGGAAUAAAGCCAAUGUGAAAAAUUUUAUUUAAAUGUGUGGAGCAUGACGAUCCAUGCAGCCUGUACGGCUAACUAAAAAAUCAAGCCAGUUCAAGGCCACAUAAUGUCCUGAGACCUACCCUCUUGGCAGAGACAGUGGACUGAAAACUUAGAACUUGAGUGGACAAAUGUGGACAAGAGGCCCUGCCAGUGGGAAUGCUGCAUUCUCCCUUCUAGCCUGUUGGUUGAAAUCAUGGCCUCCUUCUUUGCUUCCCAGUAAAUAUGAAGUGCUAAUCAAUUUAUUGUUGGCAUGUGUCUCCCAUGUUUGAGAAUCUCUCAGCGCAUUUCAAAUAUAGUCUCAUGAACAUACAUAAAAGUCUCCAUCAAAAGUCAUUUCGCUAAACAUAUUUAUCUUUUCUAUUUGUAGGUACAAAGAAGUGACACUGUAUUUACUAUAAAAUGGGAAUGUACAGCUGGGCUGGGCAACACAGGCCUCCCAGGAGCUUGGGUGGCUGAAGCAGGAGGACCACAAGUUCAAAGCCAGCCUCAGCAACUUAUCAAGGCCCCAAGAAUUUAAUGAGAACCUGUCUCAACAUAAAAAAUAAAAAGAAUGUGUCUCGGGGGCUAAGUGCCCCUGGGUUCAAUUCUUGGUAGCAAAUAAUAAUAAUAAUAAUCAUCAUCAUCAUCAUCAUCAUCAUCAUCAUCAUCAUCAUAAUAAUAAAAACAACAACAACAACAAUAAUAAGACAUGGGAAAGAUUUUGUUGGUUUUUCAGAGAUUUAUAAAGGGAAAGACCUGUUGUCAUUCCCGCCACCCCCCACCCCCCUUUUCAUCUAAAUGCCAACAGGCAGACAUAACUCUUGUCUUUUUCUCUUGCAUUUUGGUCACCUCUAUCCCUUUCCCACCUGGCUGCGCUGGAGAACAGAAGCCUCUCUGGAAAGGAGGGAAGCCCUUCCCUGCUGGCUACUGUUAUUAUGAAGCACUGAGUCUCCCUCCUCCUACCCCUCAACAGAGGUACAAUAAAUGGGGAAAUGGUCUCUUCAGGCGUUUGAUCCCUUUGGCAGAAAGAAUGAAUUGGGAAUAAAGUAUUCAAUAUGGAAAUAUAUGGCUGCCCCUUCAAGGACAUGCCUCAUAGCUGACGUGGAGGGCUCAGGAUCAUUCUAUUAGAAGACAUUGGUGGAUUUUGUAUCUAUUAUCCCUGAAUAUAGAAACACUUUGUGAUGAAGACUUCAAGUUGUAGAGCGACACUUCCUGGAUUCCACUUCCUGCUCUGCCACUGCCUUUCUUUUUUAAAAAAAUAGUAAAAAUAGUAGUAUGCAUGUUUUAUUUUAUUACUAUAUAUAUAUAUAUUACUAUAUAUAUAUAUAUAUAUAUAUAUAUAUAUAUAUAUAUAUUUUUUUUUUUUUAGAAAGUUCUGGGUGAAUGCCAGAAAGCCUCUCCCAUUGCCUUUUUGUGUGAGUUUGGUCAAGAUGCUUAAUAACAUCAGCCAGUGGGAACAACAACCCUGCUCCCACUCAAGAGAUGUGGCCAUAGGAGAAGCACUAAACCCAAGAUUGUGCUCCACUGGCGCCUCGUUCCUGUUAAACAGGGGAUAGGUGCUUGCUGAGAGGAAUAAGUGAUGUCUUUCAGGGACAAAUUAAGUCCCCUUCCAUGCGGACUUCCUUGAACACUUCACCCUCAUUUGACCCUUAGCUUUAAUCCAACGUGUGUCUUUUUAUGCACAGGUCUUUCUUUCCAACUGCAUUAUGGAUCCUUUAGUUUCUUUCUUCUUUCGUUAAUCUCAGGACUCCCCUGCAUAGCCUAGGACAGCACCUAUAUCUGUAAGCUUUGGCUGUGUAACAAACCAGUUUAAAACUCAGUGAAUGAUGAUGGGUAAAUGGCGGGAAGCUCAGUUAAGAAGAGAACAGAGGGUGGGGAAGGGGUCGGCAAGGAGAGAUCCUGGGGGCUGAAUUAGAGCAAGAUAUAUCCCAUGCUUAUGUAAUUAUG
rnacentral:lncRNA from 1 species